rnacentral:other from 1 species
AAGCCGCUGCGCGGUGCGUGAGGUCUCGAAUAUCCCGGGGGCGAUAACGUUUCUCAGGGAACUGUCACUGUCGGAGUCGUGGCUUCGGCAUACGGUGCCCACCUGGUUAUCCAGGUCCCAUGAGGAUGUACCCGACCAACGGCCGUCGCGGCGGUGCU